GGAAGGAUCAUUACCGAGCAUUAAUUUGAAACUGGUGUAAUACAUAUUCAUUUCUUAGUUGAUGCUCCAAUGGGUAUUGACUUGGAAUAUGUAUUCCACAAGGUGUAUUAUUAACGCGAUUAUACUGGGUGCUUAUGCAGUUGUGCGUCUGCGAUUGGUCCCGCGUCCAAUUGCACAGUUGGCCACACUGACCCGCCCAUAUAUUACAAUAUGGGUAGGCUUAAAGAGCAUCCGAAUGGGACGCCGCCCAGACUCGAUUCAUUUUAACUAUGAAAUUUGUGUUGACCGAAUAUUUAUUCGGUGAAAUUAAACGUACUAUUCUAAGCGGUGGAUCACUAGGCUCGUGGGUCGAUGAAAAACGCAGCCAGCUGCGAGACUUAAUGCGAAUUGCAGACACAUUGAGCAUCGACAUUUUGAACGCAUAUUGCGGCGUUGGGUAUCAUUCCCAACGCUACAUCUGUCUGAGGGUUGUUUGAGUGCAGCAAAAUGCUUCUUUGAUAAGAGGCGUGUAUGGUGAUUACUAUUUAGUGUUUCACCCGAGUAAAGCUGCGUUGCUCUUUAUAAGAAGCAACGAUGAUUUUUCUAACGGUGUGAAUCCGGAUAAAAGCAUUUUUUUAAAAAGGAUUCGUAUGCAUCGUUUUGUCAUUUACUCAACCUCAGAUCAGUUGUGAUUACCCGCCGAAUUUAAGCAUAUCAUUAGGCGGAGGAAAAGAAACGAACAAGGAUUCCCCUAGUAACGGCGAGUGAAUGGGGAAGAGCCCAGCACUGAAUCUCUCGGCAUAACCGCUGUUGGGAAAUGUAGUGUUAAGGAGAGCCGAUCCGAUGCGGAUGCGUUCCGUUCAAGUCCCCUUGACAGGGGCCACAGCCCACAGACGGUGCAAGGCCAGUGUAACGGAUGUCCGCGUCGGUAUGGUUCCCCGUGGAGUCGUGUUGCUUGAGAGUGCAGCACAAAGCGGGUGGUAAACCUCAUCUAAGGCUAAAUAAAACCACGAGACCGAUAGCAAACAAGUACUGUGAAGGAAAGUUGAAAAGAACUUUGAAGAGAGAGUUCAAGAGUGCGUGAAACCGUUCAGAAGCAAACGGAUGGAGCUGAAGAGAAUCGAGUGGGAUUCAACCGCGUCCAGUUGCCAAUCGGGUUCAUUCGAUUUUAACACGGAUUCAUUCGAUUUUUAUGGUGAUUGGCACGGCUCACUUUCCACUCGUGUUCGCUGAGGCGUGUGACGGCGCUGAAAGUAGGGGAACAAUUGCCGGUCAUAAAUUUAUUUGUGAUGUCCCGUUGUGACCUGAAAUCGAGAUGCUGCUACACGAUAAUGGAAUGCCUGCUGUAUUGAGUGGUAGCGCGACUGUGUAGACGAUCGAAAUGCUGCUUUCUAUUCGUAGAACUCGGCGACUCUUGUUUGCACAGUUCGCGUGAUCCAACCGGUAUUCGACCUCGGUGCAAUUCAGCCACCCAUCCGACCCGUCUUGAAACACGGACCAAGGAGUCUAACAUGUGCGCGAGUUAUUGGGCAGAAAACCCAAAAGCGUAAUGAAAGUAAAGGCCGAUUCGGUCGGUUGAAAUGGGAUGUUCAUUCUCGAUUGGUGAACCGCACCAUAGUCCCGUUUUGUCUGCUCGUCAGAGAAGCGGAGACAGAGCGUACACGUUGGGACCCGAAAGAUGGUGAACUAUGCCUGAGCAGGAGGAAGCCAGAGGAAACUCUGGUGGAAGUCCGUAGCGGUUCUGACGCGCAAAUCGAUCGUCAGACUUGGGUAUAGGGGCGAAAGACUAAUCGAACCAUCUGGUAGCUGGUUCCCUC
rnacentral:misc_RNA from 1 species